UAUCCGUAGGUGAACCUGCGGAUGGAUCAUUAACACAAUCCCCUUUUUAUAGAAACUUCCUUGACUCUUAAGAAAAAAAUUAUUAUUUUUUUUUUUUGGGAGACCCAAGGAGUUUCUUACAAACCCCACUUUUUAAGCGAACUUGUCAACGGAGAGUUACUUGCGUAGUAACUUGCCGUUCGUUUUUUUCUUCUCUUUUUUCAAAAAAAAACCUAAAUCCCAAUCACUAAUUCCGACUGAAACAAAAAUAAAAAAGAUGUUCAUUAAGACCAUAAAAACGUCUUAGGUAUAUCGAAGAAAUGUGAUAAACAUUUAGUACAACUCUUAACAACGGAUAUCUUGGCUCUC
rnacentral:misc_RNA from 1 species